rnacentral:rRNA from 1 species
UACGUAGGGUGCGAGCGUUAAUCGGAAUUACUGGGCGUAAAGCGUGCGCAGGCGGCGCGUUAAGACAGGUGUGAAAGCCCCGAGCUUAACUUGGGAAUUGCGCUUGUGACUGGCGUGCUGGAGUGUGGCAGAGGGAGGUGGAAUUCCACGUGUAGCAGUGAAAUGCGUAGAGAUGUGGAGGAACACCGAUGGCGAAGGCAGCCUCCUGGGCCAGCACUGACGCUCAUGCACGAAAGCGUGGGGAGCGAAACAAGGAUUGAGAA